rnacentral:tmRNA from 1 species
GGGGUCGACUGGUAUUGACAGCGAGUCGAAUUGAAGUGUAAGCACGCCGAGCGCUGAGAAAUAGCUCGUUAAUCUCAUGUUUCACAUUUUUUAAAUGGCGAGAAUAACUACGCUUUAGCUGCAUAAUCUGAAUUAUAGUAGGAUUGGCCUCAGUUUCUGUUAGACAGAAAAGCUGAAUGUCUCAUGAUAGCCCUUGUUGCCGGCGAUCAUAAUUGAGACACCAUAAAAGACAACAUCGAGACUACGUUACUUUGCCGUAGUUUUUACAACUAAGAAGUUAAGCUAUUAGUGGGCGGUUUUUGGUCAGCUAGUAGUCGAAAAUUAAACAAGAACUAAGCGCGUAGAAGGCAUUUUAAUUGCUUGUUUGGACGAGAGUUCGAUUCUCUCCGACUCCAC